rnacentral:lncRNA from 1 species
GAGCCUGCCUUUGCACAUGGCUCCUCCUCCUUCUGUGUGUGCCUCCAUUUUAAACCUGAGGUAACCGUUACUGAGCUCAUCCUCUUCCGGUGAUAAUAGUGACAUUUACAAAGUUUAACUUUGGUUAAGUUUCACAAUACUGAAACAAAACUUUUUUUUAAUAACCUAAGCGAGCUCUUAAAGUGUGGUGCUACUGUUAAUUAUGGCAUCUUUCCGUAAAUUACUCUACGUACCGCGCUUCGACACUCAGUCGCCUCAAACUGACAAGCAAUCGGGAUAUAACGGAGAAAACAACAAACACCGUCAACUGAACGGGUUAACUCAGGCGACUCCCUUACUUUUCCUCGACGUUACAAGUCCCGAAAUAACACCAUGUUUGUCAAAAAAAGUGAAAACAAACCAUCUUUUGAGGUUGUACGCCAAUAUGAGAUCAACGGUUAAUCUGAGGGCAUCUAAAGGCGGGAAAUCACGGCGCGCCAAACGCGUCACUUACGGAAGUGUAGGAGAACAGCCACACAGGGCCUCAUCUGAUACUUUUGGAUUCCCACCAAGAGAUGUUAAAGCAGAUGAAAUGUACCGAUCCCGAACAAAACAAGAUGUAUUGAGGACAAUCAAGAGAAUGGUGGAGGAGAACAGGGUCAUCAGAGAGCGGUUACUCACCUUGAGGCAGCAGAGCCGAAGCAAA